UCCCGUAUCACUCUAAAUGUAUAAUGCAGUCGAACGAACUUCCGUUAAUUGAUUAUGACGUACUUGUACUGAUUGAGAUUUUAACACGAAGUGAGUGGCGAACGGGUGAGUAACACGUGGGUAACCUGCCCAGAAGUAGGGGAUAACACCUGGAAACAGAUGCUAAUACCGUAUAACAGAGAAAACCGCAUGGUUUUCUUUUAAAAGAUGGCUCUGCUAUCACUUCUGGAUGGACCCGCGGCGUAUUAGCUAGUUGGUGAGGUAAAGGCUCACCAAGGCAGUGAUACGUAGCCGACCUGAGAGGGUAAUCGGCCACAUUGGGACUGAGACACGGCCCAGACUCCUACGGGAGGCAGCAGUAGGGAAUCUUCCACAAUGGACGCAAGUCUGAUGGAGCAACGCCGCGUGAGUGAAGAAGGGUUUCGGCUCGUAAAGCUCUGUUGUUAAAGAAGAACGUGGGUAAGAGUAACUGUUUACCCAGUGACGGUAUUUAACCAGAAAGCCACGGCUAACUACGUGCCAGCAGCCGCGGUAAUACGUAGGUGGCAAGCGUUAUCCGGAUUUAUUGGGCGUAAAGCGAGCGCAGGCGGUCUUUUAAGUCUAAUGUGAAAGCCUUCGGCUCAACCGAAGAAGUGCAUUGGAAACUGGGAGACUUGAGUGCAGAAGAGGACAGUGGAACUCCAUGUGUAGCGGUGAAAUGCGUAGAUAUAUGGAAGAACACCAGUGGCGAAGGCGGCUGUCUGGUCUGCAACUGACGCUGAGGCUCGAAAGCAUGGGUAGCGAACAGGAUUAGAUACCCUGGUAGUCCAUGCCGUAACGAUGAUUACUAAGUGUUGGAGGUUUCCGCCCUUCAGUGCUGCAGCUAACGCAUUAAGUAAUCCGCCUGGGGAGUACGACCGCAAGGUUGAAACUCAAAGAAUUGACGGGGGCCCCGCACAACGGUGGAGCAUGUGUAUUAAUUCGAAAGCUACGCGAAAACCCUUACCAA
rnacentral:rRNA from 1 species